CUACGGGAGGCUCCAGUGGGGAAUAUUGCACAAUGGGCGCAAGCCUGAUGCAGCAACGCCGCGUGAGUGAAGAAGGCCUUCGGGUCGUAAAACUCUGUCCUAAGGGAAGAAUAAUGACGGUACCUUAGGAGGAAGCCCCGGCUAACUACGUGCCAGCAGCCGCGGUAAUACGUAGGGGGCAAGCGUUAUCUGGAAUCACUGGGCGUAAAGGGUGCGUAGGCGGCCUGUCAAGUCAGAAGUGAAAGGCUAUGGCUCAACCAUAGUAAGCUUUUGAAACUGAUGGGCUUGAAUACAGGAGAGGUAAGUGGAAUUCCUAGUGUAGCGGUGAAAUGCGUAGAGAUUAGGAGGAACACCAGUGGCGAAGGCGACUUACUGGACUGUUAUUGACGCUGAGGCACGAAAGCGUGGGGAGCGAACAGGAUUAGAUACCCGUGUAGUC
rnacentral:rRNA from 1 species